CGGCAUUUGUGAUAGAACGCUAGUAGAGUUAUACUAAGAGUUUUGGUGGUAUGGCUACGAUAUAGUACAUGACAAUUCCUACUGACUGCAGAUCGUUUUAUCAGGUUUUCAAACAUGUUUUCAAGUAGAUGCGUUCUAAUAGUGUUCCAGACCUAGGUAAAACUUCAUAAAACCCAGUAUUACACGAUGAAGAACCUUGCUUCGAGUUUUAUACAGUUAUACUGUUUAUUGAACUCUUUGGCUUAUUUUCAGAAACAUUGGCUGGUACAUGAAAUGCCUUGCGAACGUCAUUUACAAAGACAUUCCAAGAUUCCUUGUCGUGUUUUGCAUCAUUUUGGUGACCUUUUCAACUUCGUUCUACAUGGCUAUAAGAGCGGAGAAAAAAGACCAGUUAAGAGAAAGAAUACUUGGCAACAAGUAAGUGUGAAUUCAGCUUGUUAUACCCCCAGCUGAAAUGUUGUUGUUUAUCGGACGAGAACAUAUCACGUGGUGAGAACAUUGAGGGCCUCGAUAAAGCAAAUAAAAUCUCACUGAAAUCAACUGAAACAUAGUUAAUGGUUGAACCCGGAGCUACCCCCUUCCAUAUGCAUAUGCUCUCAUUGUACGAACUACUAAGAUCAAUAGCUAAUUUAAAAAGCUGGAAAAAGAAGUCAAUAGAAGAUUGAGAUUGGAUUCUUUAUUAUUUGCUACAUAGAGUAAUUGACAAUCAAAAAUAAAGAUUCAUAAUUUCUUUGCUGUUUUUUUAGCACGUUCAGAGAUGGGAUCUCUUCUACGUCUAGUAUAGCAUGUGUAGUGUUGGCUGGGGUAAUGACCUGGCUCGAAGGGUCGUCCGUUGCUGGCAACUUGACAGAAGUUGGAUGGUUAGGACCACUGCUGACCGUCUUAUUCAUGAUGAGUGUAACAAUAAUUUUGUUGAACAUCCUGAUCGCUCAACUCUCGCUGACUUACGAGCUGGUCCAGGAAGACUCGUUAAAUUGUUUCACUGCGCUAAGAAUGCAAGCGGUGGCAGCCAUCGAGUGGCAGAGCAGGUUCAGAUUUUGGGUAGGUACAACGAUGACGUUAUAAUAUAUAAAGGAAAAAA